rnacentral:rRNA from 1 species
CGUAUGUCGCAAGCGUUAUCCGGAUUUAUUGGGCGUAAAGCGCGUCUAGGUGGUUUGGUAAGUCUGAUGUGAAAAUGCGGGGCUCAACUCCGUAUUGCGUUGGAAACUGCCUAACUAGAGUAUCGGAGAGGUGGGCGGAACUACAAGUGUAGAGGUGAAAUUCGUAGAUAUUUGUAGGAAUGCCGAUAGAGAAGUCAGCUCACUGGACGAAUACUGACACUGAAGCGCGAAAGCAUGGGGAGCAAACAGGAUU